AGAGUUUGAUCCUGGUUCAGGAAGAACGCUGGCGGCGUGCUUAACACAUGCAAGUCGAACGAGGUCCAACCUUCGGGUGAAGACCGAGUGGCGAACGGGUGAGUAACACGUGGGGAACCUGCCCUUCUCUCUGGGAUAACGUCGAGAAAUCGGUGCUAAUACCGGAUACUCCUUGCGGAUCGCAUGGUCUGCUCGGGAAAGCUCCGGCGGAGAGGGAUGGCCCCGCGGCCCAUUAGCUAGUUGGUGAGGUAAUGGCCCACCAAGGCGACGAUGGGUAGCCGAGCUGAGAGGCUGAUCGGCCACACUGGGACUGAGACACGGCCCAGACUCCUACGGGAGGCAGCAGUGGGGGAUUUUGCACAAUGGGCGAAAGCCUGAUGCAGCAACGCCGCGUGCGGGAUGAAGGCCCUCGGGUUGUAAACCGCUUUCAGCAGGGACGAAUAUGACGGUACCUGCAGAAGAAGCCCCGGCUAACUACGUGCCAGCAGCCGCGGUAAUA
rnacentral:rRNA from 1 species